rnacentral:rRNA from 1 species
AACACAUGCAAGUCGAGGGGCGAGCACGGGAGUAGCAAUACAACUGGUGGCGACCGGCGCACGGGUGAGUAACGCGUAUGCAACCUACCUAUCAGAGGGGAAUAACCCGGCGAAAGUCGGACUAAUACCGCAUAAAACAGGGGCACCGCAUGGUGAUAUUUGUUAAAGAAAUUCGCUGAUAGAUGGGCAUGCGUUCCAUUAGGUAGUUGGUGAGGUAACGGCUCACCAAGCCGACGAUGGAUAGGGGAACUGAGAGGUUGGUCCCCCACACUGGUACUGAGACACGGACCAGACUCCUACGGGAGGCAGCAGUGAGGAAUAUUGGUCAAUGGGCGAGAGCCUGAACCAGCCAAGUCGCGUGAAGGAAGAAGGAUCUAUGGUUCGUAAACUUCUUUUGCAGGGGAAUAAAGUGCGGGACGUGUCCUGUUUUGUAUGUACCCUGAGAAUAAGGAUCGGCUAACUCCGUGCCAGCCGCCGC